AGAGUUUGAUCCUGGCUCAGAUUGAACGCUGGCGGCAUGCCUUACACAUGCAAGUCGAACGGCAGCGGACCUUCGGGUGCCGGCGAGUGGCGAACGGGUGAGUAAUGUAUCGGAACGUACCUUUCAGUGGGGGAUAACGUAGCGAAAGUUACGCUAAUACCGCAUAUUCUGUGAGCAGGAAAGCAGGGGAUCGCAAGACCUUGCGCUGAUUGAGCGGCCGAUAUCAGAUUAGCUAGUUGGUGAGGUAAAGGCUCACCAAGGCGACGAUCUGUAGCGGGUCUGAGAGGAUGAUCCGCCACACUGGAACUGAGACACGGUCCAGACUCCUACGGGAGGCAGCAGUGGGGAAUUUUGGACAAUGGGGGCAACCCUGAUCCAGCCAUGCCGCGUGAGUGAAGAAGGCCUUCGGGUUGUAAAGCUCUUUCGGCCGGGAAGAAAUCGCAUGGG
rnacentral:rRNA from 1 species